rnacentral:rRNA from 1 species
AUUGAACGCUGGCGGCAGGCCUAACACAUGCAAGUCGAACGAGUGGCGGACGGGUGAGUAAUGUCUGGGAAACAGCCUGAUGGCGGGGGAUAACUAGUGGAAACGGUAGCUAAUCCCGCCUACCAUCGGAUGUGCCAAGAUGGGAUUAGCUAGUAGGUGGGGUAAAGGCUCACCUGGGCGACGAUCCCUAGCUGGUCUGAGAGGAUGACCAGCCAACCGGGAACUGAGACACGGUCCAGACUCCUAGGGGGGGCAGCAGGGGGGAAUAUUGCACAAUGGGCGCAAGCGUGAUGCAGCCAUGCCGCGUGUAUGAAGAAGGCCUUCGGGUUGUAAAGUACUUUCAGCGGGGAGGCGUUACCCGCAGAAGAAGCACGGCUAACUCCGUGCCAGCAGCCGCGGUAAUAC